AAAGUUAGUCGGACAGUCGCACUUUUUAUAAGUGAGGAAAGUCCGGGCUUUAUAGAGCAAGAUGCCAGAUAACGUCUGGGAGGCGUGAGCCUACGGAAAGUGCAACAGAAAAUAAACCGCCUUUUUUUUUACAAAAAGGUAAGGGUGAAAAGGUGUGGUAAGAGCACACCGCAUUGGUGGUAACACUCAAUGGCAUUGUAAACCCCAUCUAAAGCAAGACCAAAUAGCGCUACGAAAAUGUUGCUCGCAUUGUAGCAGGGUAGGUCGCUUGAGCUUGUUGGUGACAACAGGCCUAGAUAAAUGACUGUCUAUUACAGAACCCGGCUUAUAGACUAGCUUUGUAU
rnacentral:RNase_P_RNA from 1 species